rnacentral:rRNA from 1 species
UACGUAGGUGGCAAGCGUUGUCCGGAUUUACUGGGCGUAAAGAGCGCGCAGGCGGUCGUGCAAGUCGCGUGUGAAAGCCCCCGGCUCAACUGGGGAGGGUCACGCGAUACUGCUCGACUCGAAGGCAGGAGAGGGAAGUGGAAUUCCCGGUGUAGUGGUGAAAUGCGUAGAUAUCGGGAGGAACACCAGUGGCGAAGGCGACUUCCUGGCCUGUUCUUGACGCUGAGGCGCGAAAGCUAGGGGAGCGAACGGG